CAUAGCGUGUUGUUUUCAUUUUGUUGGUGCACUCUGGAGACGGUGUAGGUUUAGUAAAUUGUGAUUCCUGGCCCGUACAACUGAAUCUGAAUGAUCCCAACACAAUAGGAUUCAUUGUUCGUUGAAAUACCAAAUCAUCAAAAUACCAGGUAAGCGGCUAUCAUACACGACGAUGCUCCUUUAUGGACACGAGUCUUGGACCAUCCGAGUGUACGAUGCUCUGGGCUGAAAGAUGAACUACGAGCUUGCGGUGCUGUACGCCUGCCGAUGACCAAGCCUGGAAGGAUACGAUUGCUGGGGGAUGGUAUGAGGAUGGCUAGAUCUUAUGCCCUACCAUAAUGGUGUUAGCCGAAUUGAAUCCCCCCCAAUUCGCCAAGAGGUACUGGGGAAUACAUCGAGCUCGGUGGAUGGAUCAGGUGAAGCAGGACCUAUCGAAGAUAGGGUGUCUACAUGGAUGGGAAAGCCUUUCAGACAUGGCACGAGCAUCUUGAAGAACAAUCGUGGACUGGGCCAUGUUACGACGACGCGAUUUUUUCGUGAGCCGGCCCACGAGAGACAGGGUGUGAAAUUAGGGUGCCCUCUUUGGUCUCAGAACGCGUACGCUGGGUAAUGACAGGACUCAUUAUAUUCAAAACAUUAUUGUGACAUUGCGCAGAAACGCCAAAAAGCGCCACAUUGAGCGUUUGGCGGCAAAAGUGCUAAUCGAUGUAAAAAGGGUUCAUCAGUGUUUAUGGGCCGCAGAAAUAUGUUGCAAAAACCAUCAACGGGCUUCAAAUUGGAUCGAUUGAUCGCGUAGUUAGCCACUCAGUACGACCCAGUUCUUGAAAGUGUUCGAGUUUUUUUGGGGAUUUGUAGCCAGAAGUUAUUGCUUGCCAUGAUUUCGUGACGAUUUGCGCUGGCGACAAUAGUGUUUGAUUUGAAUGAUAAUAAGUUCAUAAAUUCCCGGCGGAGGAGAGAUCAGGUGUAGAGGAGAGCAUGACUUCCAUACCGGAGCGGCUGGUCAAUAGUCAAUGAAUUAUUU